rnacentral:rRNA from 1 species
UACGAAGGGGGCUAGCGUUGUUCGGAAUCACUGGGCGUAAAGGGCGCGUAGGCGGCCGAUCAAGUCGGGGGUGAAAGCCUGUGGCUCAACCACAGAAUUGCCUUCGAUACUGUUUGGCUUGAGACCGGAAGAGGUAAGUGGAACUGCGAGUGUAGAGGUGAAAUUCGUAGAUAUUCGCAAGAACACCAGUGGCGAAGGCGGCUGACUGGUCCGGUUCUGACGCUGAGGCGCGAAAGCGUGGGGAGCAAACAGG